GGGUGCAGGAUGAACGCUGGCGGCGUGCUUAACACAUGCAAGUCGAACGAUGAAGCCCAGCUUGCUGGUGGAUUAGUGGCGAACGGGUGAGUAACACGUGAGUAACCUGCCCUUAACUCUGGGAUAAGCCUG
rnacentral:rRNA from 1 species